CAAAUACUCCCUCCGUCCCAAAAUUCUUGUCUUACAUUUGUCUAAAUACGGAUGUAUCAAGUCACAUUUUAGUAUUAGAUACAUCCGUAUCAAGACAAAUCUAAGACAAGAAUUUUGGGACGGGGGGAGUAUAAA
rnacentral:pre_miRNA from 1 species